rfam:Schistosoma curassoni strain Dakar, Senegal genome assembly, scaffold: SCTD_scaffold0000678
GCACUGCUGAAGAGUCCCAUUUUAGGACGAAACGGCCGUCCAGUGA